rnacentral:rRNA from 1 species
GACGAACGCUGGCGGCGUGCUUAACACAUGCAAGUCGAACGGAAAGGCCCUGCUUUUGUGGGGUGCUCGAGUGGCGAACGGGUGAGUAACACGUGAGUAACCUGCCCUUGACUUUGGGAUAACUUCAGGAAACUGGGGCUAAUACCGGAUAGGAGCUCCUGCUGCAUGGUGGGGGUGGGAAAGUUUCGGCGGUUGGGGAUGGACUCGCGGCUUAUCAGCUUGUUGGGGGGGUAGUGGCUUACCAAGGCUUUGACGGGUAGCCGGCCUGAGAGGGUGACCGGCCACAUUGGGACUGAGAUACGGCCCAGACUCCUACGGGAGGCAGCAGUGGGGAAUAUUGCACAAUGGGCGGAAGCCUGAUGCAGCAACGCCGCGUGCGGGAUGACGGCCUUCGGGUUGUAAACCGCUUUCGCCUGUGACGAAGCGUGAGUGACGGUAAUGGGUAAAGAAGCACCGGCUAACUACGUG